rnacentral:rRNA from 1 species
GAUGAACGCUAGCGAUAGGCUUAACACAUGCAAGUCGAGGGGCAGCAUGAUCUUAGCUUGCUAAGGUUGAUGGCGACCGGCGCACGGGUGCGUAACGCGUAUGCAACUUGCCUUACAGAGGGGGAUAACCCGUUGAAAGACGGACUAAAACCGCAUACACUUGUAUUAUUGCAUGAUAUUACAAGGAAAUAUUUAUAGCUGUAAGAUAGGCAUGCGUCCCAUUAGCUGGUUGGUGAGGUAACGGCUCACCAAGGCGACGAUGGGUAGGGGAACUGAGAGGUUUAUCCCCCACACUGGUACUGAGACACGGACCAGACUCCUACGGGAGGCAGCAGUGAGGAAUAUUGGUCAAUGGGCGAGAGCCUGAACCAGCCAAGUCGCGUGAAGGAAGACAGUCCUAAGGAUUGUAAACUUCUUUUAUACGGGAAUAACGGGCGAUACGAGUAUUGCAUUGAAUGUACCGUAAGAAUAAGCAUCGGCUAACUCCGUGCCAGCAGGCCGCGGUAAUUACGGAGGAUGCGAGCGUUAUCCAGAUUUAUUGGGUUUAAAGGGUGCGUAAGUUGUUCGGUAAGUCAGCGGUGAAACCUGAACGCUCAACGUUCAGCCUGCCCGUUGAAACUGCCGGGCUUGAAUUCAGUGGCGGCAGGCGGAAUUCGUGGUGUAGCGGUGAAAUGCAUAGAUAUCACGAGGAACUCCGAUUGCGAAGGCAGCUUGCCAUACUGCGAACUGACACUGAAGCACGAAGGCGUGGGUAUCAAACAGGAUUAGAUACCCUGGUAGUCCACGCAGUAAACGAUGAUUACUAGGAGUUUGCGAUAUACCGUCAAGCUUCCACAGCGAAAGCGUUAAGUAAUCCACCUGGGGAGUACGCCGGCAACGGUGAAACUCAAAGGAAUUGACGGGGGCCCGCACAAGCGGAGGAACAUGUGGUUUAAUUCGAUGAUACGCGAGGAACCUUACCCGGGAUUGAAAUGUAGAUGACGGAUGGUGAAAACCGUCUUCCCUUCGGGGCUUCUAUGUAGGUGCUGCAUGGUUGUCGUCAGCUCGUGCCGUGAGGUGUCGGCUUAAGUGCCAUAACGAGCGCAACCCACAUCGGUAGUUGCUAACAGUUUUCGCUGAGGACUCUACCGAGACUGCCGUCGUAAGGCGUGAGGAAGGUGUGGAUGACGUCAAAUCAGCACGGCCCUUACAUCCGGGGCGACACACGUGUUACAAUGGGAGGGACAAAGGGCAGCUACCGGGCGACCGGAUGCGAAUCUCUAAACCCUUCCCCAGUUCGGAUCGGAGUCUGCAACUCGACUCCGUGAAGCUGGAUUCGCUAGUAAUCGCGCAUCAGCCAUGGCGCGGUGAAUACAAUCCAAGGCCU